GUAUGAUGCCUACAUUUGGAGAUGCAGGUGUGGUGGCCCACAGUCUACUACUCACAUGCUGGUAUGAUGCCUACAGGUAGAGAUGCAGGUGUGAUGGCCCACAGUCUACUACUCACAUGCUGGUAUGAUGCCUACAGGUGGAGAUGCAGGUGUGAUGGCCCACAGUCUACUACUCACAUGCUGGUAUGAUGCCUACAGGUGGAGAUGCAGGUGUGGUGGCCCACAGUCUACUACUCACCUGCUGGUAUGAUGCCUACAGGUGGAGAUGCAGGUGUGGUGGCCUACAGUCUACUACUCACAUGCUGGUAUGAUGCCUACAGGUGGAGAUGCAGGUGUGAUGGCCCACAGUCUACUACUCACAUGCUGGUAUGAUGCCUACAUUUGGAGAUGCAGG